GCACUGCUGAGGAGUCCCCCGAUAGGACGAAACGGCCGUCCAGUGU
rfam:Schistosoma margrebowiei strain Zambia genome assembly, scaffold: SMRZ_scaffold0000351